rnacentral:rRNA from 1 species
UUAUGGCUCAGGAUGAACGCUAGCGACAGGCUUAACACAUGCAAGUCGAGGGGCAGCACGGGAGUAGCAAUACUUGGUGGCGACCGGCGCACGGGUGAGUAACGCGUAUGCAACCUACCUAUCAGGAGGGGAAUAACCCGGCGAAAGUCGGACUAAUACCGCAUAAAACAGGGGCACCGCAUGGUGAUAUUUGUUAAAGAAAUUCGCUGAUAGAUGGGCAUGCGUUCCAUUAGGUAGUUGGUGAGGUAACGGCUCACCAAGCCGACGAUGGAUAGGGGAACUGAGAGGUUGGUCCCCCACACUGGUACUGAGACACGGACCAGACUCCUACGGGAGGCAGCAGUGAGGAAUAUUGGUCAAUGGGCGGGAGCCUGAACCAGCCAAGUCGCGUGAAGGAAGAAGGAUCUAUGGUUCGUAAACUUCUUUUGCAGGGGAAUAAAGUGCAGGACGUGUCCUGUUUUGUAUGUACCCUGAGAAUAAGGAUCGGCUAACUCCGUGCCAGCCGCUGC